rnacentral:rRNA from 1 species
AGCGUACACGGUGGAUGCCCUGGCAGUCAGAGGCGAUGAAGGACGUGCUAAUCUGCGAUAAGCGUCGGUAAGGUGAUAUGAACCGUUAUAACCGGCGAUUUCCGAAUGGGGAAACCCAGUGUGUUUCGACACACUAUCAUUAACUGAAUCCAUAGGUUAAUGAGGCGAACCGGGGGAACUGAAACAUCUAAGUACCCCGAGGAAAAGAAAUCAACCGAGAUUCCCCCAGUAGCGGCGAGCGAACGGGGAGCAGCCCAGAGCCUGAAUCAGUGUGUGUGUUAGUGGAAGCGUCUGGAAAGGCGCGCGAUACAGGGUGACAGCCCCGUACACAAAAAUGCACAUACUGUGAGCUCGAUGAGUAGGGCGGGACACGUGGUAUCCUGUCUGAAUAUGGGGGGACCAUCCUCCAAGGCUAAAUACUCCUGACUGACCGAUAGUGAACCAGUACCGUGAGGGAAAGGCGAAAAGAACCCCGGCGAGGGGAGUGAAAAAGAACCUGAAACCGUGUACGUACAAGCAGUGGGAGCCUCUUAAUGGGGUGACUGCGUACCUUUUGUAUAAUGGGUCAGCGACUUAUAUUCUGUAGCAAGGUUAACCGAAUAGGGGAGCCGAAGGGAAACCGAGUCUUAACUGGGCGUUAAGUUGCAGGGUAUAGACCCGAAACCCGGUGAUCUAGCCAUGGGCAGGUUGAAGGUUGGGUAACACUAACUGGAGGACCGAACCGACUAAUGUUGAAAAAUUAGCGGAUGACUUGUGGCUGGGGGUGAAAGGCCAAUCAAACCGGGAGAUAGCUGGUUCUCCCCGAAAGCUAUUUAGGUAGCGCCUCGUGAAUUCAUCUCCGGGGGUAGAGCACUGUUUCGGCAAGGGGGUCAUCCCGACUUACCAACCCGAUGCAAACUGCGAAUACCGGAGAAUGUUAUCACGGGAGACACACGGCGGGUGCUAACGUCCGUCGUGAAGAGGGAAACAACCCAGACCGCCAGCUAAGGUCCCAAAGUCAUGGUUAAGUGGGAAACGAUGUGGGAAGGCCCAGACAGCCAGGAUGUUGGCUUAGAAGCAGCCAUCAUUUAAAGAAAGCGUAAUAGCUCACUGGUCGAGUCGGCCUGCGCGGAAGAUGUAACGGGGCUAAACCAUGCACCGAAGCUGCGGCAGCGACACUAUGUGUUGUUGGGUAGGGGAGCGUUCUGUAAGCCUGUGAAGGUGUACUGUGAGGUAUGCUGGAGGUAUCAGAAGUGCGAAUGCUGACAUAAGUAACGAUAAAGCGGGUGAAAAGCCCGCUCGCCGGAAGACCAAGGGUUCCUGUCCAACGUUAAUCGGGGCAGGGUGAGUCGACCCCUAAGGCGAGGCCGAAAGGCGUAGUCGAUGGGAAACAGGUUAAUAUUCCUGUACUUGGUGUUACUGCGAAGGGGGGACGGAGAAGGCUAUGUUGGCCGGGCGACGGUUGUCCCGGUUUAAGCGUGUAGGCUGGUUUUCCAGGCAAAUCCGGAAAAUCAAGGCUGAGGCGUGAUGACGAGGCACUACGGUGCUGAAGCAACAAAUGCCCUGCUUCCAGGAAAAGCCUCUAAGCAUCAGGUAACAUCAAAUCGUACCCCAAACCGACACAGGUGGUCAGGUAGAGAAUACCAAGGCGCUUGAGAGAACUCGGGUGAAGGAACUAGGCAAAAUGGUGCCGUAACUUCGGGAGAAGGCACGCUGAUAUGUAGGUGAAGUCCCUUGCGGAUGGAGCUGAAAUCAGUCGAAGAUACCAGCUGGCUGCAACUGUUUAUUAAAAACACAGCACUGUGCAAACACGAAAGUGGACGUAUACGGUGUGACGCCUGCCCGGUGCCGGAAGGUUAAUUGAUGGGGUUAGCGGUAACGCGAAGCUCUUGAUCGAAGCCCCGGUAAACGGCGGCCGUAACUAUAACGGUCCUAAGGUAGCGAAAUUCCUUGUCGGGUAAGUUCCGACCUGCACGAAUGGCGUAAUGAUGGCCAGGCUGUCUCCACCCGAGACUCAGUGAAAUUGAACUCGCUGUGAAGAUGCAGUGUACCCGCGGCAAGACGGAAAGACCCCGUGAACCUUUACUAUAGCUUGACACUGAACAUUGAGCCUUGAUGUGUAGGAUAGGUGGGAGGCUUUGAAGUGUGGACGCCAGUCUGCAUGGAGCCGGCCUUGAAAUACCACCCUUUAAUGUUUGAUGUUCUAACGUUGGCCCCUGAUCGGGGUUGCGGACAGUGUCUGGUGGGUAGUUUGACUGGGGCGGUCUCCUCCUAAAGAGUAACGGAGGAGCACGAAGGUUGGCUAAUCCUGGUCGGACAUCAGGAGGUUAGUGCAAUGGCAUAAGCCAGCUUGACUGCGAGCGUGACGGCGCGAGCAGGUGCGAAAGCAGGUCAUAGUGAUCCGGUGGUUCUGAAUGGAAGGGCCAUCGCUCAACGGAUAAAAGGUACUCCGGGGAUAACAGGCUGAUACCGCCCAAGAGUUCAUAUCGACGGCGGUGUUUGGCACCUCGAUGUCGGCUCAUCACAUCCUGGGGCUGAAGUAGGUCCCAAGGGUAUGGCUGUUCGCCAUUUAAAGUGGUACGCGAGCUGGGUUUAGAACGUCGUGAGACAGUUCGGUCCCUAUCUGCCGUGGGCGCUGGAGAACUGAGGGGGGCUGCUCCUAGUACGAGAGGACCGGAGUGGACGCAUCACUGGUGUUCGGGUUGUCAUGCCAAUGGCACUGCCCGGUAGCUAAAUGCGGAAGAGAUAAGUGCUGAAAGCAUCUAAGCACGAAACUUGCCCCGAGAUGAGUUCU